GCACUCGGGAGCUUCACAUUUGAAAACAAAAGACACAAAAGCUUUAAUUUAAAGAGAAGUGUGAAAUAAGACAAAAAAUAUGUACAGAACAUUGAUUAACUUAAAUAAAAAUACCUUUUCCCCUCCUUUUAAAACUAAAGUAUAAAAUAAUGUCGGAUGGAAGGACAGUUGUGCAAAAAAAAGUUAUGAAUUGAUUCUUCGAAAAUGACUGAUAGGAAACUCAAUUUCAUAGUGAGCUCUUUGCUCAGUCAAAUCUCCACCAAGCCUCAACAAAAACAGCAUUCAUGUAAAAAAAAGAAAGAAAAUCCAAACAUUAUAAAAUAGAUUUGUAUAUCUUAAAUAUAUAUGGAAUUUAUAUACGAAACAUGCUGUAAAGAAACCGCAUGUACAGAGACUGAAAGGAAUCUACAUCAUCCCUUUUGAUUGACACCUGGGUCCGUCCAAUUAGCUGUGCCUUGCUCUAGUGUUUGAUUGGGAUUGGUUGAAUGACGCCGACCUGUUCAAGAUGGAGUAGCCCUCAGUGUGCUUAGCAAUAGUAAUACUUUACAAACUCUUUACCGGCUGAACAAGAGAUCCGUUCUAAACAUUCAAGGUUCUAAGCAAAGCCCAGAAAUGUCCUUAAAGAGAGAAAGGAAAAAAAGCAGUUCAAAGUGAUUCAGUAUAUCUACCCAAAAGCUGAAGUAAACACAUAAUUCAUAGAUACUAAUACCUGGGACUUUACCAAAACCCAAUUAAUGCGUGACUGUGCUACAAAUUAUGCUUCUUCUAUUCCUCCUUUUCCUGUAUUUUUUAAUAUUUCCACAUAUAACAAAAAGAAAGUAAAAAGAGGUUAUCCCCAGUGGAAACCCUGAGAAUGCUUUUCCUGUGGUUCGCCCAUUACAUUGUGUGAUAAUAACCGUGUAGAAGGCUGUCCUCUGGUAAAUAGGCCUUUAUGGAUCAUAACACUGCACCAAGUCAUUCACAGCUUUCACUCAGCCACAUAGGGGGCAGGAGAGCAACAGAUGUCAAGAGUGCCAGCUUCUGUUCCACACGUCAUCUACCACAGACCGCUGGGCCCCAGACACCAGAACCCCUGGGAUAUCAGAACAAGAACCAAUGGAACUCUCAAAUCAGAAGUAAUUGGAUGCCUGGAAUCGGAACCCGUACGAUUCUUCAAAUAGAAAUCCAAGGAAUCAGAACACCUGGGUAGUCUUCAAAUCAGAACUCCUGCGAUUAUUCAAAUCAGAACACCUAUGAUUUUGAAAACAUAACUCCUUGGAUUACCAAAAUCACCACUCCUUUGAUUCUUCAGAGCUCUUUGAAUUGGGGAAAUAUAGGAACACCUUGGAUUCUUCCAAUCAGAACUCCUAGGAUUCCUGCCAUCAGAACGCCAAGGGUUCCUGGAAUCAGACCUCCUCUAAUGUGUUGAUAACAGUAGUGAAGUGUGAGUGGGAACAAGAUCGACCUCAGGUGGCUCCCAGGGGAACACUUCCAGUCAGAAAUCAUACUUCAGAAAACCGUUGCCGAGAGGACCAAAAUGACACCAAACAAGAGUGUGUGCGAGUGUGAAGGUGUGAGAAGGGAGUCAUAACAGGAAGAAUCUGAUCCCCAGACUCAAAAGAUCAGCAGAAAAACCCUUGUAUCCAUUCACAACAUACCCUUGACACAAACAUUGCUCAAAUAAAUAUUCCACCUUUAUUCAAUUUUUGUUUAUUUCCAACUAAAACGCUGGAUGUAACGGUUGCACAGCAGUUGUAGGGUAGGUUAGUAGUAGCAGAAGAUGCAGUAGCAGUAGUACAACGCUAGGGGGCGGCGUACUGCAGGCCAGUACAUAAGAGGUGCCUGUGUGUGCAUGUAAGUGUGUGAGUGAUUGUGGGUGUCGGUGUGGCUGUGUGUGAGUGCGGGUGUGUGUGUGUGUUUGUGUGUCUGGUAGCGCCGCUUGCUAAUUCAGCGCUGGACCCUGCAGUAGAGAAACGUAGCGCUGAGCGCGGCUCCUCAGAGAGAGGCAUUGGCCAGUCAGCCGAAACACGCGCUGAUCAGUACGCCUAUAGGAACCGCCUCGGGAUCAAUCAGCCUAUAGGAGCAGCUCAGGGAACCGUCGACACCAGAGAAUCUGGGAUUCUUCAAGUAAAAAAAACAAAAACAAAAAAGGACAUUCCACUCACCAGAAAACGUAGCAAAUCAAACAACACAAGGCGUGUUCAGUACUCCAGUUAGUGUUCUUGUGAUCAACACAAUGUCACUGGUCAGUAUGUUUCAUCAUAGAGCCCAGUCCCAAUAGCCGCUUCUGGGACUAGUUACCAUGCAUAACUAGUCACAUCUGAGACUGGAUACUAGGCUUAACUCGUGAUAUCUAGGCCCGUCACUAGCCAUGGCUAUAGUUAGCCACAACUAGGUCUGGUUACCAGGCCUAACUAUAACUAGCCACAUCCAGGACUGGUUACCAGGCCUCACUAGAGUCACUCCUAGGACUGGUUACCAGGCCUAGCCGUAACUAGUCAUUGGAGACUAACUAGAGUGUAAACUAGGCAGUAGAAGCACCACGUGUUGGCCUGAGAACAAGAACCAGGUCAGCUGUGAGACAGGUUCCGUCAGGGAGAACCAAUCAGCGUGUCCCUGUGAGGAGGCACAGUUUCAAACACUUCAAUAAAUUACAGAUCAAUCAUCAUUUGGACUUUUUGGGAGUGUGUCUUACUACUUUCCAUACAGAGAACACAAAAGGAGAAAAAGUAAGGGCACGUGCCAAUUUGCAUCAUGUUUAGUGUCUUUGUCAUUUGGUCGCCCAUGUCCGACCAGCACACACAGCAGCUACAGAUGUCAGACGGUCCCUUAGGGCUGGCAGAUCAUAGUGCUGCUGCUGAUGUCAGACGGCCCCUUAGGGCUGGCAGAUCAUAGUGCUGCUGCUGCUCCGCCCAGCCGCGUCGGAGUGAGCAAUCUGUCUCCGACUCAAAAUAAAAAUAAAAAAUACGAUGAAAAACGAAACAACAAAAAAAACAAUCUCAGUUGGAAACGACACGUCCCUUACGAUCGCCCUGGUCGCGUUGACCCGCCCCCAUGGGUUGGAAACCUUUCGCCGCAAACGUCGUUACUCUCUCUCCCCCCCAAAGGCCCACGAGAGCGACGGCGGCCUCUGGAUUAAAGUCGUUUGCAGAAGUCUCUCGACCUUCUCGCAUGCAUCUGCGGCACCCGUUUGGCUGACGAGGAGAACGCCGCUGGUAAAAGGGCGUCCAGACAACAGAACGUGAACGCCCGACGAGUUGAGUUUGGUUUGUUUCCCCCCGGGGCUCCGACCUCCAGCCAAACUGGGGGUCCUUGAUUUAUUGGAUUGGUCCAGCAGGGCGGGGCCCCCACCGCAUCAGAUCUGAUGGGAGGGUGUGUGUGUGUGUGUGCCUUGGCCCCAGGGCCGUGGCCCAGUGUCGGGGGAGCGGGGGGGGCUCGGGGAGGGUCAUCGGAGGUGCUCCAGGAGAGGCAGCUCUGUGGACUCCUCACGCGGGGUGGGGGGGUCCCUGGAGGUCAGCAAGGGGCUGCUGUCCAGCGCCAGGGUGGCACCCAGAGGGUCAAGGGUCACGAAGGUCUCUGGUGGAGGUACGGGAGCAAUCAUCUGCCAAAACAACCAACACAAUCAGACAGGGAAACCGAUAACAUCUAAACAUGUAUCUCGCC
ensembl:lncRNA